UACGAAGGGGGGCUAGCGUUGCUCGGAAUUACUGGGCGUAAAGGGCGCGUAGGCGGAUAGUUUAGUCAGAGGUAAAAGCCCAGGGCUCAACCUUGGAACUGCCUUUGAUACUGGGGAUCUCGAGUCCGGAAGAGGUUGGUGGAACUGCGAGUGUAGAGGUGAAAUUCGUAGAUAUUCGCAAGAACACCAGUGGCGAAGGCGGCUCACUGGCCCCGGAACUGACGCUGAGGCACGAAAGCGUGGGGAGCAAACAGGG
rnacentral:rRNA from 1 species